GGUUUGCAUGUGAUGACUACAUAGUUCAGCAGACAGUCUGUGAUGAAUACCUUAUGUCUUUCGCUCCUGUCUGAUGCAUCCU